AUGCAAGUCGAGCGGCAGCGCGGGGCAACCUGGCGGCGAGCGGCGAACGGGUGAGUAAUACAUCGGAACAUGUCCUGUCGUGGGGGAUAGCCCGGCGAAAGCCGGAUUAAUACCGCAUACGUCCGAGAGGAGAAAGUGGGGGACUCGCAAGGGCCUCACGCGAUUGGGUUGGCCGAUGUCCGAUUAGCUAGUUGGUGGGGUAAAGGCCUACCAAGGCGAUGAUCGGUAGCUGGUCUGAGAGGAUGAUCAGCCACACUGGGACUGAGACACGGCCCAGACUCCUACGGGAGGCAGCAGUGGGGAAUUUUGGACAAUGGGGGCAACCCUGAUCCAGCCAUUCCGCGUGAGUGAAGAAGGCCUUCGGGUUGUAAAGCUCUUUUGUCCGGAACGAAACGGUGCACGUGAAUAUCGUGCGCUACUGACGGUACCGGAAGAAUAAGCACCGGCUAACUACGUGCCAGCAGCCGCGGUAAUACGUAGGGUGCGAGCGUUAAUCGGAAUUACUGGGCGUAAAGCGUGCGCAGGCGGUUUUGUAAGCCAGAUGUGAAAUCCCCGGGCUCAACCUGGGAAUGGCAUUUGGGACUGCAAG
rnacentral:rRNA from 1 species